AGGAACUUGUGGACAUAUUUAAAAACCACCACAGGCGGUAAAUAAGUUAAUUGAAUCCAAUCGAGCGUUGAGGCAACAUGGGCGGUAACCAUGUACUUCCCUCUCCUCCAAUCAAAUGACAGAGUGUUAGGACAGAAGCAGCAUGGGAUUUACCUUGAACUUGGGACCCGAGAUUGAGAAAAUAAUUCCACCUGAAGGCCACCAUGCUGCGAGGAGGCCCAAGUGAUCUUUGGAGAGGCCCACAUAGAGAAGAAACAGCGCCAGGACCAACUGGCCAACCGUGGGCGUGAGCCAUCUUGAAAACGGAUCCCCGCGUUCCAGCUGAGCUGUCCCAGCUGACACGGAGUGGCGCAGAGGUUGGUUUAUUUAUUUUGAGACCCCCGAGAGAGGGUAUGAGCCUGGGAGGAGCGGAGAGAGAAUCGCGAGCCGGCCCCUCGCUGUCGGCGCAGGGCUUGAACCCCGGACCGUGAGAUCGUGACCUGAGCCGAAAUCAAGAGCGGGACGCUUCACCGACUGAGCCGCCCAGAUGCCUCUCGGGGCUCUGGGCUUAAGCAGGACCUGGAGUGGUUGUAAUAAUUAUUGAGUCCCACGCGAAGCUGCAGCAGCUACCUGGAGGCACGUUCAUUCUCCUGGCGACGGCAGGGGUUCGGGAGGCCAGGCCCAAACGAGGAAGCGCGUUUGAAAACCUCCGACUGGAUCCUG